rnacentral:rRNA from 1 species
AUACGGAGGACGCGAGCGUUAUCCGGAUUCAUUGGGUUUACAGGGUGCGCAGGCGGCCGUGCAAGUCAGCGGUGAAAGCCCGGGGCUCAACCCCGGAAGUGCCGUUGAUACUGCAUGGCUGGAAUGCGGUCGAGGCGGGCGGGACGUGGGGUGUAGAGGGGGAAAGCGUAGAUAUGGCACAGAACGCCGAUAGCGGAGGCAGCUCGCCAGGCCUGCAUUGACGCUCGGGCACGAAAGCGUGGGGAUCGAACAGGAUUAGAUCCCCUGGUAGUCCACGCCGUAAACGAUGGGCGCUCGUCGUCGGCGGCAGACAGUCGGCGGCCAAGCGAAAGCGAUAAGCGCCCCACCUGGGGAGUACGGUCGCAAGGCUGAAACUCAAAUGAAUUGGCGGGG